rfam:Anopheles epiroticus strain epiroticus2 unplaced genomic scaffold supercont1.460, whole genome shotgun sequence.
UAGAAGUUUUGUUCUGUAAAAGGGUUGGAUCCGACGCCUCUAGAAGGCUACUAUAGGCUCUCCUUCUCAACUCCUACUCAAACGUCCACGUCGUGCAGAACGGUAACUUGUUGCUCAGAUCCAAGCUUGGGUACACGGGGAAACCCAACCCCUCGGGCGGAUGAGCGGCAAGGCAGAAUUGAGAGGU